CGUGCUUAACACAUGCAAGUCGAACGGAAAGGCCCUGCUUUUGUGGGGUGCUCGAGUGGCGAACGGGUGAGUAACACGUGAGUAACCUGCCCUUGACUUUGGGAUAACUUCAGGAAACUGGGGCUAAUACCGGAUAGGAGCUCCUGCUGCAUGGUGGGGGUUGGAAAGUUUCGGCGGUUGGGGAUGGACUCGCGGCUUAUCAGCUUGUUGGUGGGGUAGUGGCUUACCAAGGCUUUGACGGGUAGCCGGCCUGAAAGGGUGACCGGCCACAUUGGGACUGAGAUACGGCCCAGACUCCUACGGGAGGCAGCAGUGGGGAAUAUUGCACAAUGGGCGGAAGCCUGAUGCAGCAACGCCGCGUGCGGGAUGACGGCCUUCGGGUUGUAAACCGCUUUCGCCUGUGACGAAGCGUGAGUGACGGUAAUGGGUAAAGAAGCACCGGCUAACUACGUGCCAGCAGCCGCGGUGAUACGUAGGGUGCGAGCGUUGUCCGGAUUUAUUGGGCGUAAAGGGCUCGUAGGUGGUUGAUCGCGUCGGAAGUGUAAUCUUGGGGCUUAACCCUGAGCGUGCUUUCGAUACGGGUUGACUUGAGGAAGGUAGGGGAGAAUGGAAUUCCUGGUGGAGCGGUGGAAUGCGCAGAUAUCAGGAGGAACACCAGUGGCGAAGGCGGUUCUCUGGGCCUUUCCUGACGCUGAGGAGCGAAAGCGUGGGGAGCGAACAGGCUUAGAUACCCUGGUAGUCCACGCUGUAAACGGUGGGUACUAGGUGUGGGGUCCAUUCCACGGGUUCCGUGCCGUAGCUAACGCUUUAAGUACCCCGCCUGGGGAGUACGGCCGCAAGGCUAAAACUCAAAGGAAUUGACGGGGCCCCGCACAAGCGGCGGAGCAUGCGGAUUAAUUCGAUGCAACGCGUAGAACCUUACCUGGGUUUGACAUGGAUCGGGAGUGCUCAGAGAUGGGUGUGCCUCUUUUGGGGUCGGUUCACAGGUGGUGCAUGGCUGUCGUCAGCUCGUGUCGUGAGAUGUUGGGUUAAGUCCCGCAACGAGCGCAACCCUUGUUCACUGUUGCCAGCACGUUAUGGUGGGGACUCAGUGGAGACCGCCGGGGUCAACUUGGAGGAAGGUGGGGAUGACGUCAAGUCAUCAUGCCCCUUAUGUCCAGGGCUUCACGCAUGCUACAAUGGCUGGUACAGAGAGUGGCGAGCCUGUGAGGGUGAGCGAAUCUCGGAAAGCCGGUCUCAGUUCGGAUUGGGGUCUGCAACUCGACCUCAUGAAGUCGGAGUCGCUAGUAAUCGCAGAUCAGCAACGCUGCGGUGAAUACGUUCCCGGGGCUUGUACACACCGCCCGUCAAGUCAUGAAAGUUGGUAACACCCGAAGCCGGUGGCCUAACCGUUGUGGGGGAGCCGUCGAAGGUGGGACUGGUGAUUAGGACUAA
rnacentral:rRNA from 1 species